rnacentral:lncRNA from 1 species
AUGGGAAGCAGGGAAAUGGCAGGGGAAGAAGCAGGGAAGGAGGAGCAGUCAGGAGGACAGUCGACUCAAACGAAAGGAAAGGAGAUUAGGAAGGGGAGAGGGAGGGUCGGCGGAGGGUGUUGGAGCCCGAGGAGGUCGUCGGCUCUGACCAGGGAGAUUGCCAUCAAGGUCAAACUGAGGAGGGUUGAGCAAGGAGCAGCGUGGGAAGUGGUAAACAUGCGGGACAUGGGCCAGAGGCGAACCCUGGGGAGAAGUCAGGUGGUGGUCGCUGCCCUUAAGAAGGAUAGGGCCAAACUCCUGCGAUCAAAGGCAGAGGGGACCAAAGGGCCAUCCAUCGCAUCGACAUCCCAACCAACUCCAGUUACUAAACAACACCAGAGCCCCUGCAUGUCUCUGGCCCUCACUGUACAACCGCCCUGCUUCGAGGUCUUCACAGACCUCCAGUCGCCCUCGAGCCCCUGCUGCACCCCAAGUAGCAAUGACUCCUUGACGGCCUUGCUGUCCCAGGCCCAGGGCUCCAUGGAGGAAUCGGACCAGGACAUAGAGAAGCUCCUGGAGGAUAUCAUGAUGGGCCUGAACAUACUGCCUUCCUCUGGCCUGGAGAAGGACGGCAACAGGUCGAGCUUUAAGUCGAAAGGCGCAGCCAUCCCCAGCGCCCCACCCGCGCUGGAGUGGACAGAGAGGCAGGGAGAGGUGGACACAGACGCAAGUGAGGUCGGCUCACAGUGGUACAAGACGCUAUGGGAAGACGCCUCGUCGGAAGACGCGGUCCUGCACAGCAGAAGCAGUUCCUAUUUGGUUCCCGCUGCGGCAUCAACCUCGUCUGUGCACUGUGCAGAAACCUGGCCCCAAACGGAACGCCAGUCCAACCAGAUUGCUCAGGCACAGUCCUCUCUGGCUGAGGAACAGCCUGCAAGCAAAGACAGUUUGCCUGACGAAGGUUUUGCCCAGUGCCAUUCGCUCAAUCACAGGGGGCAGGGAGAUACGACGGACCAGAGCGCUGUCCUCUCCGAGCCGCUGGAUUGCCAAGACCUUCACACACUAAAUGUGGCAUCAAUCGUGCCUGAUACUGUUAACUCUGACAGUCAGCAGACUGACCAGCCAACCUCUAAGGAAUUAACCUGGAUGUCAAGCACACAACAUGUACUGCAGUUUCCUCUGAGCUUGGGUUCCAAGCACGAAACUAAACCUUCUGAACCUGAUGAUCCGUCAAGGCUGGAGUCCUUGGAGGACCUGGAGCUUUUGCCGUCAUUACGUCAGUCAACUGAAGUGAAGGAGGAAAAAAGGAAGCCCCCUGUUAAAAAGCUCUGUGUUGAGGCUGAAAAAGAGACAAGGGACAAACCAGUGACGUCAAAGAGAAAAAGGAUAUGUGAAGCACACACAGAUGACGCAUCUGAUCGUACCUCGGGGUACAAAGUAACCAGACAUGGGUCUGGAGAGUUUAGUAAAAUCUUUUUGAAUGUGUGCUCAGUGAAUUUGUCCGGCAACAAUGUCUUGAGCAAGAGAAGGAUACUGAAGCAAGAACCUCCUGUUUUUAAAGAGCCAAAGAAGGUGCUCGACACCACAGGUGCCGACAAAGGCUCUGAGAAAUUGAAGGCUGACAAAACCAUAACCGAGAAAAGGAAAAGAAGCACUCCACGUGCCAGAAGUACUUCUACAACCAAAGAUAAGGCAGAUGAGAUUGUGGAUACUGUCCCAGUGAUCAAAAGGAAGGUAGGGAGACCUCGGAAGAUAAUGCCUGUCCCUCACAAUGCCAACCCGUCCAUUGACAAGAUUUUAGAAAGCGACAGGAAAACGAAUGCGCAGGCCGAGAUCGGAGAACAAUGUGGACAAAACGAAAGAAAACUAAGAAGGAAAUGCAAGGAGAUCGUCCAGGAUGUUCAGAUUUCGAACUAUGAAAAAUGUGGACAAAACAAAGGAAAGCCAAGUAGGAAAGGCAGGAAUGAUGUCCGUAAUGUUCAGAUUUCGAACGAUGAGGUCCAUUAUGAUGUGCCGAGUUCAGACCCUGUUUCAGCCCCAGAGCCUCCUAGGGUGGCUGAUGAACAGCUCUGCGCCCAGCCGCAUGAUCCGAGUGAGUCUGAGCCAAACGAGCACAGGGCAGGUUCAGAGAAUACUCAGACCGAAGAGGCUAAGAUGACCGGAAAUCCUGAAUCAAGGGUGAAUCCUGCAGUUAAACCAAAACCAACGGUUUCUCUGAAACAGUUUAAACAACUCAUUAAGUUCAGACAAAUCACGAUCAGGGGUUCAAAGACCAAAACUAAAGUGAUAUCCAGUGAAGUGGAGGAAAAUGUACAUUCUGAUGGAAAGGCUUGUGAAAACACAGACAGAUGUGAAGCAACUUCUUCAGAUAUAUCUCCUACAAAAAACGUAAAUGAUGUUAAAUUUGAUCAAAACCAGAAUCGGGUCAUCACAACUGAAAGUCCGAAGUCGAAAGUGGACGUCACAGUUUCGCAGGAUAAACAAGGGAAUCAUUCGCAAGGUCAAAAAGGUAACCAGGUACCUCUUGAAGCUGAGGAUAAAAAGGGAAAGGAUUACAACAGAGUUGACGUUGUUGUAAAAGCUUCCCCAAUAGUCUGCCAAUCUUCAUCAAUAGAAAGCAAAGUAGGUGAUCAAUGCAUUGCCAAGAAUCCAGGCCAUUCUGCUGCAUCAAAAACCAGCGGAAAACCAGAAACAAUACAGCCAAGACCUACAGUUGAACCUGUAAUGGGACUCAAAAAGUCUGACAAUGAAAGUCGGGUUGAAGCAGAUGACCUUUCUAGCAAGGACAUGGGGUUUCACAGUCAUAGAGGAAAAGAGGAGACGAGGGAGGUGGAGAUAGAGGAGAUGGGUGAGGCGUUGCUUGAUGGCGAGGAGCGUUGGGUGGAGAGGCCUGAUGAAGCAUCGGAUUCGGCCAAUAGCACAGAGACGCCACAAGCCCGUGUAGAGGACUCCACCCCUUGUUGGGUCCGCUCAUCUCAGCCAAGCAACGCGCCAACAACUGACUGCUCUCUCACAUCUGAGCCUCAAAACAGAAGUAGUCGAGACAUCGAGGGAUCGAGACAUUCCCAGGAAGAUGAGGAGGAUAUGGAGGUGGAUAUUCUGCUGUGUUCCCCAGACAAAGGCCGAGGGCCGAUGGAAUUUGGAGGAAGCGUUAUCGUAGACUCAUCACAGGAUGAGGACGAGGAAGAGCUGAAAGAGAUUGAUGUGAUGGGAAUUUAG